rnacentral:hammerhead_ribozyme from 1 species
GUCCAGCUGACGAGCUCCAAAUAAGUCGAAACGCGCCUCCUGGAU